GAGCGGCGAACGGGUGAGUAACACGUGAGCAACCUGCCCCAAGCUUUGGGCNUAANCCUCGGAAACGGGGGCUAAUACCGAAUAGGACUUCUUGGNNGCAUGGCUGGUGGUGGAAAGUUUUUCGGCUUGGGAUGGGCUCGCGGCCUAUCAGCUUGUUGGUGGGGUGAUGGCCUACCAAGGCGACGACGGGUAGCCGGCCUGAGAGGGCGACCGGCCACACUGGGACUGAGACACGGCCCAGACUCCUACGGGAGGCAGCAGUGGGGAAUAUUGCACAAUGGGCGGAAGCCUGAUGCAGCGACGCCGCGUGAGGGAUGACGGCCUUCGGGUUGUAAACCUCUUUCAGCAGGGACGAAGCGAGAGUGACGGUACCUGCAGAAGAAGCACCGGCCAACUACGUGCCAGCAGCCGCGGUAAGACGUAGGGUGCGAGCGUUGUCCGGAUUUAUUGGGCGUAAAGAGCUCGUAGGCGGCUUGUCGCGUCGACCGUGAAAACUUGGGGCUCAACCCCAAGCCUGCGGUCGAUACGGGCAGGCUAGAGUUCGGUAGGGGAGACUGGAAUUCCU
rnacentral:rRNA from 1 species